rnacentral:rRNA from 1 species
CCUACGGGAGGCAGCAGUGGGGAAUAUUGCACAAUGGGGGAAACCCUGAUGCAGCGACGCCGCGUGAGUGAAGAAGUAUCUCGGUACGUAAAGCUCUAUCAGCAGGAAAGAAAAUGACGGUACCUGACUACGACGCCCCGGCUAACUACGUGCCAGCAGCCGCGGUCAUACGUAGGGGGCAAGCGUUAUCCGGCUUUACUGGGUGUAAAGGGAGCGUAGACGGCGCUGCAAGUCCGGGGUGAAAGCCCAUGGCUUAACCAUGGUACUGCUCUGGAAACUGUAGAGCUUGAGUGCGGGAGGGGCAGGCGGAAUUCCGAGUGUAGCGGUGAAAUGCGUAGAUAUUAGGAGGAACACCGGCGGCGAAGGCGGCCUGCUGGACCGUAACUGACGUUGAGGCUCGAAAGCGUGGGGAGCAAACAGGAUUAGAUACCCGGGUAGUC